AAACAAGAGAAGGCAUGAGACAAAUUCUGAAUAUAAAAAGUGCCAGAAGGUUUGUGGAAGUAAAACCCUGAGGAGUUUUGUGUGUGGUCAGUUUGGCUGAGAUUAAAAUGAAUGAGUUUCAAUUUAUCAAAAGUAAGGCAGUCACAAGAAGCGCCGCUGCCUCUGCUCGGCCUCUGGUGCGUGGGUGCUGGCAGGGCCAGGGCAGGCCCUGCGGCGCCUGGGCGCGAAGCGCCUGCGGGGCAGGGGGCGCGGGGAGUGCGUGGUCCAGCCACUGGCAGCGGGGCGGAGGCGGGGCGAAGCGGGUCCCUGAGUCCCGAGUGGCUGGUGGCCGGGACUCUCCAUCCCUCCCUCCUCUGGGUGGGCAGCACCACUGAGGCUGAGCAAAGCGCGGAGGGAGAGAGCACUCUGUGUGGUGGCUGCCGCAGCCCCGGGGAGCAGAAAACACCCCUGCGGGGAAAAGUGAUAAACAACCAAAAGCUGUUCUGGUGGCUUUAACAGCGCCCCCAGUGACAGCCUGAGAACACCCUAGUCCCCUCCACUAGAGGGAAGGCCAAGGGACAUUGACCCAUCCCUGCAGUGCCUUGCAGGUGGCUCGGGUAUGGGGGACCGGAGGCCACAUGACAUAACAACGUGUUGGUCUACAGAAACAGAAGGCAUUUCGUCGGGGGUGGAAAUGAGUAAAAUGGCUUCCGGCGCUUCUCACCCCAGCCUGCGGCAAUGGUUCUAUAGCACCGCAGGUGCACAAAGCCCCCUGAUGUUGCCUUGUUUCAUUAUAUUGAUGAUGUCGUGUUAACCUCCCAGUCUUUUCCAGACCUUCAAGAAGCCUCCCGCUCCCUCGUCACCCACCUACACCAGGGAAGAUGGGUGGUGAACGACAACAGAGUACAAGGGUCUGGGUUGUCUGUCAAAUAUCUGGGUGUUGUCUGGUCCGGUAAGACAAAAGUGGUUCCUGCUACUGUCAUAGAUAAGAUCCAGGCUGUCUAUCCUCUUUGUAAGUUGGUGCAAAAGGGACUGGCAGACCACCGGGCCUUCACCCAAGCCAAAAUAGCAGUGAAACAAAUCAAGUCCUUGGAUGUUUGUCACAAGGACAACCGUGUGAAUUGGACGUUUCUGGUUACCCAGAGGGGUUCGGAUGGAAUCUCUGACAGAGGCAAGGUAAUAAAUGAGUGCCCGGUGGCUUCUGGUCUCAAUUGUGGAAGCGGGCUCACCCUGUGGAUGGCACAAUGGACAUGACAGUGGACUAUUAAUGGUCACCUGCUGUGGGGGAUAGAGCUCCAGGAUGAUAUUUGGCAGCAGGUCCAGGGAAUGACAAUAGCAGUGUACCAUGUGUCUGUAUCUCAGGCGACAACGCUGCCAGGAAACCAACAAGCAGACGAGUUGGCUCCGGAUCCAUCUCCUGAAAGAAAUACCAGCCGAGAGAGUGGCAGAGUGGCUACACAAGAAGACUCUACACAAAGGACAAAGGACCCUAUAGGCUACUGCCAAGGCUUUGGGCCUCUCCCUGUCCUACGCUGAUGUGGUGCAGGUCUGUCAGGUGUGCCCUUCUUGUUCCUUGCAGAAACCCUAGGCCAUUCCCCUGAACACAAGCCAAAUUGCUAGCGGCAACCAGCCUUCUCAACACUGGCAGGUGGCCUACAUUGGGCCCUUGCCUCUCUCUGAUGGCUGCAGGUAUGCCCUCACUUGUGUGGAUACGUAUACAGGACAGCUACAGGUAUACCCCAGCAAGAGGGCCACACAGAAGACCACCAUAAGUGGCCUGGGAUACCUCUGUGCUGGGUACGGUGUUCCCACAAACAUCGACAGUGACCAAGGUAUGCAUUUUACUGGCCACCAGGUACAGACAUGGGCUGAUCAAAUGGACAUAUAUUGGCAUUUUCACCUGCCAUACAACCCCACGGCUGCAGGGCUGGUGGAACAAAUGGAUGGCUUCUGAAACAGCUGAAGACAGAAGACAGGACCCUAGCCCACUGGACAAGAGGCCUGACAACUGCAAUACGUCAACUGAGUGAACGUGAGAGGCGCACCUGACCCACUGCAUAUCAAAUGUUGACACAAGGACCUGAUAUGCCAGACAUCUACAGACAAGGGCUAAUCAAGGAGAGACACUACAACCACAGGUUGGCAUUCAGAACAACUUGAUUUUGCCUCUGCCACAAGAACUCCCUACCGGGAUCCACAUGGUCACUUCGCCCUGGGACUGGGAGCUGGGGCCUGGCUGGUGGGGUCUCUUAGCCCCUUGGGGAACAGGCUUAGAAGAAGAUAUCAUAGUAACACCCUUCAUUGUGGAGAAGCCAUCUAAAACCUCCAAACUUACUAAUCGAAGGCCUCCAAUUCCCCAAGGACGUCUGCCAACCUUUUCGCUGCUUGGGCACACACUGUUGCUGGUGUACAAAAUCACUCCAACUGCUUGGUGUGCAGUGAGCUGCCUCUCUCUUCAACCACAGGGUUACCAUGGCGUUCCUGAGCUCCAACACCUCUGACUGGAGAGCCCGGCGAGAGUGGAAGAGCAUCGUCCACUUUCCCACUUCUACUCCCCUCCCACCAAGAAACCUGUCCUUGCCCUCUUAUGCUACUUCUUGAAAGUAUAUCUUCCAGCUUGUUCAUGAGCAGGUAAAUAUAACCCCAAAGGUGGGGUACUCUGUUCUUGAAGGUGUAGGAUGGUUAACUGCUAUACAAAUAGAAUUAAGAGGUUCCGUUCCCUGGUGCAUUGAACGUCACAAUGACUCCACACCACCAAAUGAAAGCAUCUCAAAAAAUGCGGGGUAGACAUGUAAAGCAAUGUGUCACCAAACAAUUAUUAUUACUGCUGAUAUAUGGCUGGGAAAACAAGACAACACCAUCAAAGGAGACUAUGCCUCUCCUCUGGGUGAUUGUGGGCUUGUGGCACUUGUGGCUGGCCCUAUCUGCCUUAUAACUGGACUGGCAGAUGCACAUGGGGGCGUCCCUACAUCCCUGCAUGCAUCCUGUCUUCCCUUCAAUAGCUUCCUUCUAAUUGGGAGGCAGUCCAUGCACGCCAUCGUGUGCGACGCACUGCAGGGUGCUUUUACCCCCUUGCUAUCUUCUCCCCACAGGCUGCAGUUAUUGAUAUAGAAUGGCAGGUGUUUGCCCUAGCCCAACAUGUGGUAAAAGUCCUCAAUGAUACGAGACAUGCAAUAACUCUACUAAAUGAAGAAACCUCCCAAAUGAGACAAGUAGUGUUACAAAAUAGAAUGGCUUUGGACAUACUUACUGCAGCCCAAGGGGGAACCUGUCCCCUGAUCAAAGUAGAAUGCUGUGUAUUUAUCCCUGAUUAUGCCCACAAUGUUUCCUCUGCAGUGGCCUCCUUAUUUGCUCAUGUACAGGCUAUUGACAACCUGUUCACUGACUCCAUAUCUGCCUGGAUACAAUCCCUCCCCUCCACCUGGUGACGUGUUUUCUUUGGUGUCCUUGCCUUUUAACUACUUCUUUUAUUUUCAUGUUGUGCUCUCUAUUGCCGUUGUGAUCUCUGGCUGCAGUGCUCCUCUGUGUCUCGCUCAAGGGAAGCUGCAGAAGACUGGCACAAUAAGAUUGUAAGGGCCAUUCGGACACAUGGAGGGCAGAGUAUAGGGGCACUAGCACACGUGCCCUUUAAACCAUGUGUCCUUGAGGCUCCUUGUCUGGGCUAUGGCUCAGUACUAAUGAUGAUAACAGUCCUGGGCUUGGCUAACCCAGCUGUUUUCUCAUGAGAGAGUCAGAACAAAGACCCUCGCAGUCUGAGGGAACACAGAGGCCCUCCAGGAGGGCUCUGGUCCUUGGAAUGCAGGUCAUACGGGGAUGAUCCCCCUUGACAGGCAUGCGGCCUUUGUUCCUCUGCCUACGUAAGCAAGCUUCUCUCAGGGGGCAUUAGUGUGUGCACAUUUCCUGUCCAGCCGGUGCCACUGGACCUUCCCUAUAAGUAACUCCCCAGUAAACCUAUAUGUCUUGUUCCCUGUC